rnacentral:rRNA from 1 species
GACGAACGCUGGCGGCGUGCUUAACACAUGCAAGUCGAACGGAAAGGCCCUGCUUUUGUGGGGUGCUCGAGUGGCGAACGGGUGAGUAACACGUGAGUAACCUGCCCUUGACUUUGGGAUAACUUCAGGAAACUGGGGCUAAUACCGGAUAGGAGCUCCUGCUGCAUGGUGGGGGUUGGAAAGUUUCGGCGGUUGGGGAUGGACUCGCGGCUUAUCAGCUUGUUGGUGGGGUAGUGGCUUACCAAGGCUUUGACGGGUAGCCGGCCUGAGAGGGUGACCGGCGACAUUGGGACUGAGAUACGGCCCAGACUCCUACGGGAGGCAGCAGUGGGGAAUAUGGCACAGUGGGCGGAAGCCUGAUGCAGCAACGCCGCGUGCGGGAUGACGGCCUUCGGGUUGUAAACCGCUUUCGCCUGUGACGAAGCGUGAGUGACGGUAAUGGGUAAAGAAGCACCGGCUAACUACGUG